GUGAACGCUGGCGGUAGGCCUAACCCAUGCAAGUCGAACGGCAGCACAGUAAGAGCUUGCUCUUACGGGUGGCGAGUGGCGGACGGGUGAGGAAUACAUCGGAAUCUACUUUUUCGUGGGGGAUAACGUAGGGAAACUUACGCUAAUACCGCAUACGACCUACGGGUGAAAGCAAGGGAUCUUCGGACCUUGCGCGAUUGAAUGAGCCGAUGUCGGAUUAGCUAGUUGGCGGGGUAAAGGCCCACCAAGGCGACGAUCCGUAGCUGGUCUGAGAGGAUGAUCAGCCACACUGGAACUGAGACACGGUCCAGACUCCUACGGGAGGCAGCAGUGGGGAAUAUUGGACAAUGGGCGCAAGCCUGAUCCAGCCAUACCGCGUGGGUGAAGAAGGCCUUCGGGUUGUAAAGCCCUUUUGUUGGGAAAGAAAAGCAGCAGGUUAAUACCCCGCUGUUCUGACGGUACCCAAAGAAUAAGCACCGGCUAACUUCGUG
rnacentral:rRNA from 1 species